CCCUUAGAUGUCCUGGGCCGCAUGCGUGCUACACUGAUGCAUACAGCGAGUACUCCCAGCUCCGAGAGGCUGCUGGUAAUCAGCAAUAUGCAUCGUGAUGGGGAUAGAUCUUUGGAAUUAUAGAUCUUGGACGAGGAAUUCCUAGUAAUCGCAGGUCAUCACCCUGCGUUGACUAAGUCCCUGCCCUUUGUACACACCGCCCGUCGCUCCUACCGAUUUCGAGUGAUCCGGUGAAUCAUUCGGACCGCGGCCCCUAGGCAUGCGGAAAGUCUAGUAAACCAUAUCACUUAGAGGAAGGAGAAGUCGUAACA
rnacentral:rRNA from 1 species